rnacentral:rRNA from 1 species
UGACGGAGAAGGCUAAAUCAGCCUGGCGUUGGUUGUCCAGGUGAAAGGAUGUAGGCAUGUAUCUUAGGCAAAUCCGGGGUACUCUAUGCUGAGAUCUGAUAGCAAGCUGUACUUGUACAGCGAAGUGGUUGAUGCCAUGCUUCCAGGAAAAGUCUCUAAACUUCAGUUACACAGGAAUCGUACCCGAAACCGACACAGGUGGUCAGGUCGAGUAGACCAAGGCGCUUGAGAGAACUCUGCUGAAGGAACUAGGCAAAAUGGUACCGUAACUUCGGGAGAAGGUACGCUGUUGUUGGUGAUGGAACUCGCUUCCUGAGCUGACGACAGCCGCAGAAACCAGGCCGCUGCAACUGUUUAUUAAAAACAUAGCACUCUGCAAACACGAAAGUGGACGUAUAGGGUGUGAUGCCUGCCCGGUGCUGGAAGGUUAAUUGAUGGGGUUAGCGUAAGCGAAGCUCUUGAUCGAAGCCCCAGUAAACGGCGGCCGUAACUAUAACGGUCCUAAGGUAGCGAAAUUCCUUGUCGGGUAAGUUCCGACCUGCACGAAUGGCAUAAUGAUGGCGGCGCUGUCUCCAGCAGAGGCUCAGUGAAAUCGAAAUCGCUGUGAAGAUGCAGUGUACCCGCGGCUAGACGGAAAGACCCCGUGAACCUUUACUGCAGCUUGACACUGAACUUUGACCUUACUUGUGUAGGAUAGGUGGGAGGCUUUGAAGCUGGAACGCUAGUUCCAGUGGAGCCGUCCUUGAAAUACCACCCUGGUAAUGUUGAGGUUCUAACUCUGUCCCGUGAUCCGGGACGAGGACCGUGUCUGGUGGGUAGUUUGACUGGGGCGGUCUCCUCCUAAAGAGUAACGGAGGAGUACGAAGGUGCGCUCAGCGUGGUCGGAAAUCACGCGUAGAGUAUAAAGGCAAAAGCGCGCUUAACUGCGAGACCCACAAGUCGAGCAGGUACGAAAGUAGGUCUUAGUGAUCCGGUGGUUCUGUAUGGAAGGGCCAUCGCUCAACGGAUAAAAGGUACUCUGGGGAUAACAGGCUGAUACCGCCCAAGAGUUCAUAUCGACGGCGGUGUUUGGCACCUCGAUGUCGGCUCAUCUCAUCCUGGGGCUGAAGCAGGUCCCAAGGGUAUGGCUGUUCGCCAUUUAAAGAGGUACGCGAGCUGGGUUUAGAACGUCGUGAGACAGUUCGGUCCCUAUCUACCGUGGGCGCUGGAAAUUUGAGAGGAUCUGCUCCUAGUACGAGAGGACCAGAGUGGACGAACCUCUGGUGUACCGGUUGUGACGCCAGUCGCAUCGCCGGGUAGCUAUGUUCGGAAGGGAUAACCGCUGAAAGCAUCUAAGCGGGAAGCCUACCUCAAGAUAAGAUUUCCCUAGGACUUUAUGUCCUCUAAAGAGCCGUUCGAGACUAGGACGUUGAUAGGUUGGAUGUGGAAGCAUAGUGAUAUGUGAAGCUGACCAAUACUAAUUGCUCGUGAGGCUUGACCA